rnacentral:misc_RNA from 1 species
GAAAGAGGAAAAUAAAGAUGCAUCAGCAGCAGCUGGUCUACUUGAAAAGUUGAGCGUUGAAGACGAAAAGAAAGCCGAAGAUAAAGCUGAAGAUAAAGCUGAGGACACACCUGUAAAAUCUAAGGAAGAGGAUAAACCUGAGGGUGAGGCAGGGAAAUCGGAUGCAGAGAAGAAAGACUAGGAGCCAAGCCUGUUUCCCCUGCCAGAUAUAUACGGUAGGAUUUAGCUCUACCUCUACCGGAUACGUCUCAUUCAUCCAUGUCUUGGUACAUUAAAACACAGUCAAUUCUUGGAUUGGGUAACUUUUCUGGGCUGGAAAGUUAAGAGUUGUCUAAAUUGUAUGUUCGUUGGUCGGUCGGUUGGGGAGUCGUUUUCUAUUGUUCUCCUUCCUUUCCUUUCAAAAUGAGAUUGAUUUGUAGUCUGUCAAAUGGUUGGUAGUGUGGUGAUGGCCGUUUGUGAAUCCUCAAGAGUCAAAUAGCAUUUUUAGAAACCAUAAAGUUUGUUUGCAGGGAGGGCCUGAGCUGAAGAUGCUGCAAAGGGUGGGUUGGGUUAGUACCCAAACAAGAGUAUUUGCAGAGACAUAUAUACUUCUUUUUGCUUCUUUUUUCUUGAGGAAAACAUGGUUGGUUGUCUUGUGGUCAUAUUUUAUUAUUUAAGUUCUAGCUUUAUUCUAUUGUGGAGUGUGCUUUCUCUUUUGG